GACGAACGCUGGCGGCGUGCUUAACACAUGCAAGUCGAACGGAAAGGCCCUGCUUGCGGGGUACUCGAGUGGCGAACGGGGGAGUAACACGCGGGAGUACUGCCCUGCACUUCGUGGUAUGCCUUGGGAACAGGGGCGAAUACACGAUAUGACCGUCCCUGCAGCGUGGGGGGGGGAGAGAUGUAUCGGUGGGGGAUGAGCCCGCGGCCUAUCAGCUUGUUGGUGGGGGAGUGGCCUACCAAGGCGUUGACGGGUAGCCGGCCUGAGAGGGUGGCCGGCCACAUUGGGACUGAGAUACGGCCCAGACUCCUACGGGAGGCAGCAGUGGGGAAUAUUGCACAAUGGGCGGAAGCCUGAUGCAGCGACGCCGCGUGGGGGAUGACGGCCUUCGGGUUGUAAACCGCUUUCGCCUGGGACGAAGCGUGGGUGACGGUACCUGGUAAAGAAGCACCGGCUAACUACGUG
rnacentral:rRNA from 1 species